GGAGAGAAACAGCCGCAGCGCCACUCUACAUCCGCCCGUCGUCGCAGCCACAACACCUGACUGCUCUGCUCCUCCUCUCCUCCAUAUAAUGACUAAGUUUCUUUUGGUGGUCGUGGUGGCCCUCAUGGUCCUGGGUAUGGUCCAGGCUGUACCCGGAGGCUCUCAUGGGUACGGCGGGUACAGCGGGGGGUACUAUCCGGGUCCACGGUACAAUGGCGGGUACACUGGCGGGUUCGGAGGCGCCUAUACCGGGUUCGGACACGGUACUGGUGGAGGCGGUACUGCAGGGUACAACAGUUACGGUAUCGGGCGGUAAGGAUGAUCAACGGCACUACAUCACCACCUGCUUAUAAGGAACUGAUAAUAAUAAUAAACGCUUUACAUAAUAGA